GUAUUAUAAAUAUUCACAAAUAAAUAAAAGGAAAUAAAGAUAUUCAUGUAUGUGUUUUAACUACACGCUACUGUACAACUGUAGUGGGGGUUUUUUAAGCACUUUUUUGUUAUUUAUUUGAUGUUAGUUAAUAUUAGGGCUGGGCGUUAUGACAAAAAUAUUGUAUCACGAUUCGCGAAGGCAUUUCUACGAUGCACAGUAUACGAUAUGUAUCACGAUAUAAACUGCUAGUGAGAGAGAAGCACUGCUGAUACUUUAUUUGAUGCCCUAGUUAGUAUUACUAUUUUGUAGCUAGUAGUAGUUAGCGAAUGUUAGUAGCUAGUCAGAAGGGCAAAUAAAUGCUUUUUGAAAUAAUCGAAAAUAUUCUAACGAUUUAGUAUUUAAUAAACAAAUAUGUCGUAAUGGUAAGUAAUAUCCGCUAUAUACCUUUUGGAUUUUAAGUACAUAUUAGUAAGUAUGUGCCAGAAAAGACUUAAAAUUCAUACAUACACUGCAAAAAAAAAUCUUAGCAAAAUUCCUCAUCUGUUUUUAGAUGCGUUUGCUUAUUUAAAGCUUUAGAUGUAUUUUAUUAAAAUCGGAGAUCUUUUUGCUUCUUUCAAGAAAUAAAUGCGUACAAUUAUCUGAAAUGUAAGACUAUUUGAAGGUUAAAAUUAUUUUUUCAAAUAUUUAAUCUUUAGUAUAAGAAAUAGUAGAUACAUUUGACUAUAUUCAAGAUAUUUUCACUUUACUUACCAAGUACUUUUACUAUUAAGUACUAAGUAGUUACAGUACUGUAAAAUAAACUGCUUUCAUAAUUAAUAAUUAAUAGCUCUCUGACUGCAUGUGCAUGAAAUCAUGUGUCAUGUAGAAAACCUCAUCUCAUAAACAAUUUAUGAGAGAGCUGGUGAUAUAUAUGUGAUGAUAAAAUAUCGAUAUUGAGAUGAAUUGUGGCGCAGUAUACUUUUCUGAGACGUGAAUAAUAAUUAAAUAAUGAGAUAAUUAAAUGAAUAAUUGCAAGCUAAUUUAUUCUAAUUUAUUAAAAAUUCUCGUAUUUAUUUUUCACAUUAUAUAAGAAUGGCAUCGAACUCAGUUCUUUUUAUUUUUUUCUAACACAGCAUUGUAAUAUUGUACAUUAUACACUAUAUCAUGCAUUGUAGAAUUGUCUCCACGUGUCAGGAUGUAUUUUUAUCACGUUGCCCAGUCGAUGGACGAUGUGGUUGGAUCUUUCUUCCUUCAAAUUCACAUGAACGAUUUUAAGCAUUGUAACGUCUCGUCUUAAUUGGAUUGUGAAAAAUUGUUCUGUUUAUGUGGCUAUAAGAGGACCGGACAUCUUGAAUUGAGCGAGGAUUUGACACGGACAUUUGAUUAGUUGUUAUAUGAAAUCAUGAACACUUCAUUAUUUGUGUAGGGUCAUGUACUCAAUGCUAAUCACAUUUUUGGAGAAGUGUGUGUGUGUGUGUGAGAGAGAGAGAGAGACUCUGAUGAAGUGGGUCUUAAUGAGUCAUGGUGUCUUGUUGCCAUCUUAUAAAAUGAGAGAGCGGGAGAGCGAGAGAGAGAGAGAGGUAAUAGAGUAUCCGUCUGUGUGUCAGAGAUGGCGGAGUUAUAAAGAGAUGGUGGAGAAAUGACUCAUCACGUAAAAAGCCCUUCUUGCUCUGCACUUUGUACUCGAGGUGUACAUUAUCACAACUGGGAUCGCACAAGACCCAACGAAGAAAGUUUUUUUUCACUUUCACGUGAGCGCAGUGAAGGCCCAAAAAAGGUCAUGUUUCUAAACACGUGAGCGUAUUGGAGAUGGCAGAGUUCUCUCGCCAUGUGACGUGUUUACAGCAUUUAUUAACUUGUCCUUAAUAACAGCUUCACCGUGUUCUUAUAAAAUAAUCACAGGUUUCAGAUGUAACAUAUAAUGCACGUGUGAUUUUAUUUUUUUAUUUUAGGUGUGGUUUUCUUACAGGAAUAAUUCUUUUUCACAUGAUCCCAGAUUGUUCACACAGUGUCACAUGUUUACUUGACUUCACUUUCAUAACAUAACAUGGUGAAAUGGAUUUCCAUGGGGGGGUUUUUUCCCCAAAAUUUAUUCUUGACCCACCAGUCUUCCCAUCACACGACGGCUACCACCCCUUGAAGUAGAAGCACGCCUCGUCUUCAACCAGCCCAAAAGAACCCACGUCACUCCCCUCUUCAUCUCCUCCACUGGCUUCCUGUAUCUGCCCGCAUCAAAUUCCAAUGCUCACGUACAAGACCUUGUCUGGAACAGCACCGCCUGACCUCAUGCUUCCUCCAACACACGAAGCCGCCUGUCGCGUCUUUUCAAACUGCUGCUUGGGCCGAGUCACGGGGCGGCGUAACGCGUUCGAAAGGAAAGGGCUAUCUGUUCCCUUCCGCAUGCAUGACUUCACAGACGCCUGUGAUUGGCUAGUGUCGCUGUGAUUGACAGUUGAAAGAGUAUGCCCCUCCCACCCAGAGCGCACAGCCAGUUUUGCUCACUUGGGCUCCUGGACAUGGAUGACUAUAGCAUCGUCGUGAUGCAAUCAAUAGAGUGAACGCUUUUAUUGUGCGGUAAGUUAAAGAAGUCGCUGGUUAAAGAACCCCUUUCCUAGAGGACAGUAAAAGCGGGUCAAAGAUAGAAGCAGCCACGUUUGAGAAAGGCUGGAUUUACACAACACGAUCCAGACACACUCAUCACGUCCAAAAGUGUUCGUUCUUUCUCCCUUUCGUGCUGGUUUGCAUUCUCUCUUGCUGCUGCACUACAGGAUGGAGUGUUAUGGAGCUCGGCUCUGGUGUUAAUGACUGGACACGCUUCUAAUACAGUCACACCACACUCAUGCUAUAAUUGUGAUGUAAUCAUGUCCCGCUCCUCUGGAUGGAUUCGGUUAUAAUAGGAUUGAAUGAGCUUUAGAAAGGUAGGUGAGGUCUGCGUGUACAUUCCUUUUAGUUAUACAAAAUAAAAUGUGAUUGCUUUUAAGAAAAGAGGAAUUUCGUUUUAAGAACAUGGCUCUUGUCUUGUCUUUAAGGCUCUUGUCAUCUCAAAACUGGACUACUGCAACGCACUACUCUCGGGCCUCCAGGAGCUCCAUCAAACCCCUUCAGGUGAUUCAGAACACAGCAGCACGCCUCAUCUUCAACCAGCCCAAAAGAACCCACGUCACUCCCCUCUUCAUCUCCUCCACUGGCUUCCUGUAUCUGCCCGCAUCAAAUUCCGAUGCUCACGUACAAGACCUUGUCUGGAACAGCCCCGCCCGACCUCAGCACUCUAAUGAAGGCUUACGUUCCCUCAGUGCAGUAUUAUUACGGGAAUUCUGUUCCCGCUUGAUUAAUCAUGUGAUCUGCGAAUGCUGAAUUUGCUUAAUUAAAAAAUUAUCAUGAAAAAUCACAAUUUUUGAUUCAGCAACCGAUGCAAAAUGGAAUCGCGUUUUACUGUAAACACACGUGGUUAGAAUCCAGAUACAUGACGCAUGAAAUAAAAAGGUAUAAAUGUGUUUAAGAACUAAAAAAUUGCACAGAAUAACAUUGUCUUAUAUCAGAUGCAUGCACAUGACCAGUGAAUGUGGUUUCAUUUAUUCCCAACGAAAAUCCACAACUUGCAUAAAGUAUGAAAUUUAUUUCAAGAUGGCAGCGCAUUGUGAAACGGCACAGUGCCGAAUUAUAUCCGUUCAUUUUUAAUGCAGCAAGCCGAAUCUGAGCGGUGUUUUGUUAUCAGUUAUCAGUCUGCACAAAGCACAAACACACUUUUUUUUUCCUCCUCAGCCUACUUCACUUUAUCCUGACAGCGAACGAGUUCUGGCCCACGUCUGCCACUUUCAUUUGGCCCACAUAGCGCUGUGAAAGGAAGGUGAUGUAUUCCUCCGAGUCUUUACUGCCAUACCGCAGCCACAAUUCAACCUUUAUGAGAUGGAUCUUGGGAAUAAUACAGACCAGAAAUUACAGUUGAGUCACUUUAAGUGAAAUUCCAUAAGUGAAAAGCAUUAGAUUAUAAUGCUUAUGAUUGGACCGGUUUCGGCCUGCACUAUUUGAUUGACCCUUCGACACGGUCUCACACAAAUUCACACAGUUCAGUCCGUAUAAAACUUUAAAAGGUUAACGUUAGGGUUUGUACCUUUUCUUACUUUUAUGCUUUAAAGACAUAGGGAAAUCCAAGCACAUUACUGUUGUUUUGCUUCAAAUUUGUCCAAAGUGUUCAUUAGAUUUGUUUGGAGGCUUGCCAUGUGAUGACCUGGUGCACCAUCCAUGGUGUGACCUGGCCUCGUGCUCAAGUUUCCCAGGAUAGACUCCGGAUCCACGGUGACCCUGACCAGGAUAAAGCACUUACUGAAAGUGAAUGAGUGACUGAGAUUCCCAGGAAGAACCGUUUUGGGAACUCUUGAAGAACCCUUAGGAGAACCAGGAGUGACAAGCAACGGCUCAUGUAGGCUGGACAGGAAGCUGUCUAUCUCGUCCUGAGGAAUGUCUCCGUCCAGCUGGGCCAGGUACGUGUACAGUUCGAUGAAGGUGUGGAAGGGGAUUCGAGCUGCUCCUCCCUCAGGGUCCUCGCUCAGGAUCUCACACGCAAACUUCAGAGCACUGAUGAUCGUCUGUGAACACGACAGCAGACCUGAGGCUCACUUUCACGCUACACCCCAGACUGGAUCAUUCCUGUGAAGGUGAAGUGUAUCAGGACUCACGCAGCAGACCACUGCAGCACAUCUGGCGGCUGUGUCCUAAUAGCAGCUUUAGUGAACUGUUUGAGGAUGUCUGGCAGCUC